UACGUAGGUGGCAAGCGUUGUCCGGAAUUAUUGGGCGUAAAGGGCGUGUAGGCGGGAUAACAAGUCUGUUGUAAAAGUGCGGGGCUCAACCCCGUAAGGUCAAUGGAAACUGUAAUUCUUGAGUGCAGGAGAGGAAAGUGGAAUUCCCAGUGUAGCGGUGAAAUGCGUAGAUAUUGGGAGGAACACCAGUGGCGAAGGCGACUUUCUGGACUGUGUCUGACGCUGAGGCGCGAAAGCCAGGGUAGCGAACGGGAUUAGAUACC
rnacentral:rRNA from 1 species